rnacentral:rRNA from 1 species
UCCCUCAGUAACGGCGAGCGAAGUGGGAAGAGCUCGAGCCUGAAAUCACUGGCAGUUGCUGCCAGAGAAUUGUGGCCGGGAGAGGCAGCGGUGCCCCAACCGAUGCUGUCGAAGUUGACCUGGAAAGGCACGUCAGAGAGGGUGAGAGCCCCGUGCGCGACACCAUUGGGAAGGGCYGCUACUGUCUUCGGAGAGUCGGGUUGUUUGGGAAUGCAGCCCAAAAUGGGUGGUAAACUCCAUCUAAAGCUAAAUACUGGCACGAGACCGAUAGCGAACAAGUACCAUGAGGGAAAGGUGAAAAGUACUUUGAAAAGAGAGUCAAAAAGACCGCAAAACCGUUAGGAGGGAAGCGAAUGCAGCUGAAGUAGUUCUCUUCCAGGCUCAGGAGGCGUUGUCUCGGUCUGCUGGCUGGCGGAAACCGUACGGUGCCGCGGGUCGGACGGCCGAGCGACCAAUCUGCACUCCUGGAGAGAGCUGGCCAACGACAGUUGCUUGCGGCUCACAAGGGCGGCUGGGUAGGUAGCUCCUCCCUCUCGGAGGAGAACUUAUAGCCGGCCGUCUGGCAGACUGCRAGCGACUGAGGAGAGUUGUGAACCUUCACACGUGCAGUGCAGGCCCUCUUGGGCCGGGUCACCUCUAUCCGUUUGGGCACCGCUGUGGGGACUGCUUGCAGUGUCCGCUGACGAAUGUCUGCUCGGUUGGGGGGAUGUCCACUCCUUGCACUGUAGUCGUUGGUGUCCAAAUGGCUGCAUCCGACCCGUCUUGAAA